UACGAAGGGUGCAAACGUUGCUCGGAAUUAUUGGGCGUAAAGCGCACGUGAGCGGCUUAGCAAGUCGGAAGUGAAAUCCCUCGGCUCAACCAAGGAAGUGCUUUCGAAACUGCUGAGCUUGAGUACUUAAGAGGAUCGCGGAAUUCCCGGUGUAGAGGUGAAAUUCGUAGAUAUCGGGAGGAACACCAGUGGCGAAGGCGGCGAUCUGGGAAGAUACUGACGCUGAGGUGCGAAAGCGUGGGGAGCAAACAGG
rnacentral:rRNA from 1 species